AGAGUUUGAUCCUGGCUCAGGAUGAACGCUAGCUACAGGCUUAACACAUGCAAGUCGAGGGGCAGCAUGUUGGUUGCUUGCAACCAACGAUGGCGACCGGCGCACGGGUGAGUAACGCGUAUCCAACCUACCCUUGUCCAUCGGAUAACCCGUCGAAAGGCGGCCUAACACGAUAUGCGGUUCACAGCAGGCAUCUAACGUGAACGAAAUGUGAAGGAGAAGGAUGGGGAUGCGUCUGAUUAGCUUGUUGGCGGGGUAACGGCCACCAAGGCUACGAUCAGUAGGGGUUCUGAGAGGAAGGUCCCCCANAUUGGAACUGAGACACGGUCCAAACUCCUACGGAGGCA
rnacentral:rRNA from 1 species